rnacentral:rRNA from 1 species
AAUAGAUACCCUGGUAGUCCACGCUGUAAACGAUGCGAACUAGGUGUUGGUAGUAUUAAACCUACCAGUGCCGAAGCUAACGCGAUAAGUUCGCCGCCUGGGGACUACGGCCGCAAGGCUAAAACUCAAAGGAAUUGACGGGGGCCCGCACAAGCAGCGGAGCGUGUGGUUUAAUUCGAUGGAACACGAAGAACCUUACCUGGGCUUGACAUGGUCGCAGUAGUGAAGCGAAAGCGGAACGAGCCUUCGGGCAGCGAUCACAGGUGCUGCAUGGCUGUCGUCAGCUCGUGUCGCGAGAUGUUGGGUUAAGUCCCGCAACGAGCGCAACCCUCGCUACUAGUUACAUGUGUCUAGUGGGACUGCCGGAGUCAAACCGGAGGAAGGUGGGGAUGACGUCAAGUCAGCAUGGCCUUUAUGUCCAGGGCUACACACACGCUACAAUGGCCGGUACAAUGAGUUGCUAAACCGCGAGGUGGCGCUAAUCUCAUCAAAGCCGGUCUCAGUUCGGAUUGCAGGCUGCAACCCCG